UUUCCAAUAGAAGAAUGACA
rnacentral:miRNA from 1 species